rnacentral:lncRNA from 1 species
UUAGCUUGAUCCCUGGACUGAGGAUUACGGGCGACGAUGCAGCCAUUAAGAAAAGCAAUAUGUUGUACGAGACGUACUUCCAGGGACAUGGGUCGAUGCUUCUACCCGAGUUGAUGGUCACGAUCAGGGGGUGUGACCAGAUGCUUGAUAGAUUGAAGCUUGGGCUGGUCUAUAUCCUCGAGAGUGCGAUGAGGUGUCAUCACAAGAAAACUGCCAUCGACAUUUUUCAUUUGCAAGUUGUUGACGAUAUCGAUGCGUUCAACAACUAUUCAUGGGGCCGGAGAUGCUAUGAAGAUUCCGUACAUGUCUUCACCAGAUCACACUCGAGGCCUAAGGGUCAAUGCGUAAAUACGAUACAUAUGGAUUGCCCUUAGCAGUGCAGCUAAAUGUUUAAUAUAAUUAAAAUUAAAGUUUUAGUAUAUUACAUUUAUGAAUAAUAAGUGUAUGUGUUGCAGAUUUGGGUGUAAGAGACAGCCCUUGUACUGGGAGCCCGCUCUGCGAAGCGAGGGGAGACACGAUACCCUCGGAUGCAUCAUUGGAGAUCAUCGCGAGCGGACGGAUGUCCCACUGGGAAACAGUUAUCUGCCCUCCUCGACGAUCCUCAGGUAAGUAUUGUGCAUUUGUAAUUUAUAUUAUACGUAGUUUAAAAUCUGUUUACAUGAUCAUUAACUAAUUGAAAUGUCAUUAUGUCAGUUUGAAGUCAUACCUGAGUUGACGCCGUCGAUGGAAGAGGAGGCUCGGGGUCUUGUGUGGGAUUUAGGCGUUUUGCACACCCAAGACGAGGAGAUGUCUGAUCCGAGCUUGGACCGAGAUUGAGUAUGUGAAUUAAAUAUAAUUUAUUGAAUAUCGUCGACGUAUAAAUUUAUUGAAUAAUUUUUAAUGUUAUUUAUGUAAGAGGGCGGUCCAGUUGAUCGACGAUUACUUUCGCCGAGGGUAUCGCCGCCACCAUCGGCAUCACCUCCGCCGAGAGCAUUGUCGUCGCCAUUGACAUCACCUCCGUCGAGGGCAUCAUCGCUGCCAUUGGCAUCGCCACCGCCGAGGGUAUCUCCUUCCUCGUCCAGACACAUUCCCUGUGUAUCUCCGGCACACAUUGAUGAUUUGUAUGCCCGUCUGACUAGAUUUAUAGCGGAGGAGGUCGGCGUGCUACGACGAGAGUUGACGAAGAGGGUCGAUGAUUUAGGACGAGAGUUGACACGGAUGGCCGACGAUAUGGGACGAAAGUUGACAGGGAGGGUUGACGAUCUAUCCCAUGAUGUUGGAAUGCUACGGUCUUGCGUUGUCGACCUUCAAGAUACGAUAGUGGCACUUAGAGGAGAUUUAGCCGAUAGGCGAUGGGGGGACAGAGGGGAUAGUGGAGAUGAUGAUCGAGAGGGUAACAGAGAUGGCGAUGGGAGGGGGGUCACCUACAUUUUUGGCGUGAUGAGACAUUAGAAUCAUUGUGGUUAUCUAUGGAUGCAGAGUGGGUGGCCCCGAUGGCGAUGAGAGAGGGGAUGACGGAGGGGGUGGCCUCGAUCGGAGGAGCGGACGGAGGUGGCGACCGAGGAGGUGGCCCCGGAGGUCGAGAGGACGCCCAUCGUGAUUGAGGGUAAGAGACAUGCUGUUGAUGAGAUGGAGCAGGUGGUUGGCAAAAGGUUGAGAGUGCCGUCAUAGUAUGUUGUUUCCCCCUUCACGGUUGAGGUCAAGAGGAGGACGUUCAUCGAUGGGACGCACCCGACUUAUUCAGGGAGGUGGACAACGCCAAGUGAAAAGCAUUCGAGAUGGAGUGGAGGAGAAUUAUCCCUGGGUAAGUAUUGUAUGAUUUUAAUAAAACAUUGUAUGCUAACUUGUCUAUGCUUAUUUUAACAUUUUCCUUUUUUUUAGAGUUAGUCGCACGAUAGGUAACCGAACAGUAUCGGACCCUUACAAGUGGUUUCACGAUAUCACCACUUCGGAAGCUUGGCUCGCCGACGAUGUAAGUGAACUAUUCAUUUCGUGUUUUUUAUGUAUACGUCACUUUGUAUUUAUUAAAUGAAUAACUCAUACUUUUUUGGUGUUUCCUGAUGCAGCACAUCGAUCUAACCAUGGACUUGCUGCGAGAUCGAGCUCAAAGACAUCCAAAAUCAUUUGACGUCCAUGGUCGAGUCAUAUUAAACACCGAGUUCCUGCGUACCGUUACCAUAGAGUAUCAGUCGCUCCAACUUAUGGGUAAUGAGUACACGGUGCCAGAAUAUAUGCUCGAGUGAGUCAUAGGAAUGUCGUCGGGUGUCGAGGGAAAAUCAUGGUGGGGUUGUACACAUAUGUACAUUACAGCGUGCAUCAAUAAGCACCAUGUUACGCUGGAAAUCGUUUUUGCUGAGACGACUAUAUAUGUGUACGACCCAGAUCAUUCAUGUUUGACACAAGGCCAGUUGGAGCAAAAUCUGUAGUCCAUAGCUGUAAUUGUUCCUAUGAUGGCCAGACGAGCGGGGAUGACUGUACAAACAGAUUGCGGAUUGUUCAGAACACGACGACAGCGCGACAGUCCAUAAGGUAAGCGUUUGAACUUUGUUGUUUUCAUCUUUCAGAUUUAGUUUUUAGCAACACAGUACUGAACUGAUCCAUUCUUGUUCAAUUGUAGCGACGACUGUGGCAUAUUUGCCAUUAAGUACGUUGAAUUUUUAAGUAUAGGAUAUAAGGUUGAUGGAAUCAACCAAUCGUGAAUACUGAACUGGAAAAAGAAGUUAGCUUGUGAUUUGUUCGAAUUUAAUGGUGACCCAUAUUUGUAUUAAAUAUAUGUAACAUUUGAAUUGUAAAUUUAAUUAUUUUUUGUGAUUAUAAAAUAAUUGUAAAUUUGUGUUCCAUGUAUAUAACAUUCACAUUGGAAAUUUAAUUAUUUUUUUGUA